rnacentral:lncRNA from 1 species
GCUGCCAAAGAUGGGGCCUGCCGUCUCUGUGAUGUUACCAGCAGCACUCUGGCUGGGCUGGUCUGUCUUGCCUCUCAGGGAAGACACUAGCUCCAGGGAAGACUACUAGGUGCCGGGUGGUGAGGGGAAGACACCGGGCCCUGGGUGACAAAGGGAAGACGCCAGGUCCUGGAUAAUAAGCAGUAGUAAUAGGAAGAGAGGGUUCCCAAGACCACAAAGCUGAGACCCUGUUUCUGUUUGACAUAUAUUUCCGUUGUUAACUGACAUCCUUUUAGUUAAAAGCUAGAAAGCUUCUUUUGUUCUCAUGACAAGGUUGACAUAAGACUUAACUUUUGAUAUAAGCAAAGUCAUAAAAAGAAAAAGGGAAAUCAUGCAGCCUGGAGGGGAGGGAAAAAGUCAAAGGCAAAGACUGAGCCUAGUAACAGAGAUCCACUGAGAGCAGGGGAAGAGGCAGGUCAGGCCUUAGAUCCAGCCGGGGCCACAAUGGCACCUGCAAUCUUUGUGCCUCAGGUCAGAUUCUUGACUGGGGCAGGGGUAACAUGAUUGGUCACUGGCCAGCUAGUCCUUCGCGACACGUGUCCCUCCUGGUCUAAUGGGCUGGGGUCAAGGGGGGUUUGGUCAUGUGGGUCAAACAUGUCUGCCCUUCUGCAGCGGCAGAUGGCAGUUUCCAGGGAAGGAGGAUAAGGGUGCACAGGCAUUCCCAAAAGUCUAGAGUGGCAUUCCAGGAGGAGGGGCAGACAUUGGCAAAGAUAUGGGCAUGAGAACAGGGUAGUGUGUUAUGGUGGCCAAAGACAGCAUGUUCAGGGCUGGGGAUGGUGGCAGAUGGGUCCGGUCUUGGGAUCUGCAGACCAUGGGUAUUUCUGCUUUAGGCAGGGACUGGUCUCUCCAGCUAAUCUAGAGGUAUAGAACUUGGUGGUUAAGCUCCAGAGUCUCACGGGGCUGGGCUGCAUUUCAGUCCCGCCACUUAAACCAGCAUUUGGCCCUGGGUCAGAGGUCAGGGACUGGGGACCACUGAGGCAGAUGCAGCUCACACCUGGACUUUAUUUAGG